rnacentral:rRNA from 1 species
ACGAACGCUGGCGGCUGCUUAACACAUGCAAGUCGAACGGAGUGGCGAAAGGGUGAGUAACGCGUGAGCAACCUGCCUAUGACAGUGGGAUAGCCUCGGGAAACCGGGAUUAAUACCGCAUAGUCAUAGAUGGGCUCGAGUCUGAUUAGCUAGUUGGUGAGAUAACAGCUCACCAAGGCGACGAUCAGUAGCCGGUCUGAGAGGAUGAACGGCCACAUUGGAACUGAGACACAGUCCAAACUCCUACGGGAGGCAGGAGUGGGGAAUAUUGCACAAUGGGGGAAACCCUGAUGCAGCGACGCCUCGUGAACGAAGAAGGUAUUCGUAUCGUAAAGGUCUGUCCUAUUGGAAGCAGUACCAGAGAAGAAAGCUCCGGCUAAAUACGUGCCAGCAGCCGCGGUAAUUC